rnacentral:rRNA from 1 species
AGGAGGCUUCGGUCUCUGAGUAGAGCGGCGCACGGGUGAGUAACGCGUGGAUGAUCUACCCUUGAGUUCGGGAUAACGGUGCGAAAGCGCCGCUAAUACCGUAUAACAAUCCAUUUCAUCGUGGGUUCAAAGCAGGCCUCUUCAUGAAAGCUUGCGCUUGGGGAUGAGUCCGCGUCCCAUUAGCUUGUUGGCGGGGUAACGGCCCACCAAGGCAACGAUGGGUAGCUGGUCUGAGAGGAUGAUCAGCCACACUGGAACUGAAACACGGUCCAGACUCCUACGGGAGGCAGCAGUGGGGAAUAUUGCGCAAUGGGGGAAACCCUGACGCAGCGACGUCGUGUGAGGGAAGAAGGCCUUCGGGUCGUAAACCUCUGUCAGAAGGGAAGAACAUCCGGGAGUCGAACAGCCUCCCGGCCUGACGGUACCUUCAGAGGAAGCGCCGGCUAACUCCGUGCCAGCAGCCGCGGUAAUACGGAGGGCGCAAGCGUUAAUCGGAAUCACUGGGCGUAAAGUGUGCGUAGGCUGCUUGAUAAGUCAGACGUGAAAUCCCUCGGCUCAACCGGGGAACUGCGUUUGAUACUGUCGAGCUAGAGUCCUGGAGAGGGUGGCGGAAUUCCUGGUGUAGGAGUGAAAUCCGUAGAUAUCAGGAGGAACACCGGUGGCGAAGGCGGCCACCUGGACAGGUACUGACGC